AGGAAUAUUGGUCAAUGGGCGGAAGCCUGAACCAGCCAUGCCGCGUGCAGGAAGACGGCCCUACGGGUUGUAAACUGCUUUUGUACCAGAAUAAACCCUUUUAUGUAUAGGAGGCUGAAUGUAUGGUAAGAAUAAGGAUCGGCUAACUCCGUGCCAGCAGCCGCGGUAAUACGGAGGAUCCGAGCGUUAUCCGGAUUUAUUGGGUUUAAAGGGUGCGUAGGCGGCCUUGUAAGUCAGGGGUGAAAGACGGUAGCUCAACUAUCGCAGUGCCUUUGAUACUGCAGGGCUUGAAUGUACUUGAGGCAGGCGGAAUGUGACAAGUAGCGGUGAAAUGCAUAGAUAUGUCACAGAACACCAAUUGCGAAGGCAGCUUGCUAAGGUAUGAUUGACGCUGAGGCACGAAAGCGUGGGGAUCAAA
rnacentral:rRNA from 1 species